rnacentral:rRNA from 1 species
GGAGCGUAGGUGGCCUAACAUGUCAACUGUGAAAACCCCGGAGCUCAACUCCGGACUUGCAGUUGAAACUGGUAGGCUUGAGGACGGUAGAGGAAGACGGAACUGCCAGUGUAGGGGGUUAAAAUCCUUAGAUAUUGGCAGGAACGCCGGUGACGAAGGUGGUUUUCUGGGCCGGUUCUGACACUGAUGCUCGAAAGCCAGGGGAGCGAACGG